GACGAACGCUGGCGGCGUGCUUAACACAUGCAAGUCGAACGGAAAGGCCCUGCUUUUGUGGGGUGCUCGAGUGGCGAACGGGUGAGUAACACGUGAGUAACCUGCCCUUGACUUUGGGAUAACUUCAGGAAACUGGGGCUAAUACCGGAUAGGAGCUCCUGCUGCAUGGUGGGGGUUGGAAAGUUUCGGCGGUUGGGGAUGGACGGCCGGCUUAUGAGCUUGUUGGUGGGGUAGUGGCUUACCAAGGCUUUGACGGGUAGCCGGCCUGAGAGGGUGACCGGCGACAAUGGGACUGCGAUACGGACCAGACUGCUACGGGAGGCAGCAGUGGGGAAUAUUGCACAAUGGGGGGAAGCCUGAUGCAGCAAUGCCGCGUGCGGGAUGACGGCCUUCGGGUUGUAAACCGCUUUCGCCUGUGACGAAGCGUGAGUGACGGUAAUGGGUAAAGAAGCACCGGCUAACUACGUG
rnacentral:rRNA from 1 species